GCCCCGGUGGCCGAGCGGUCAAAGGCAUAAGACUUAUGAUCUAAAUGGUGAAUCCCAAUCGCGGGUUCGAAUCUCGCCCGGGGCA
rnacentral:tRNA from 1 species